rnacentral:rRNA from 1 species
AUUGAACGCUGGCGGCAUGCUUUACACAUGCAAGUCGAACGGCAGCGCGGGCUUCGGCCUGGCGGCGAGUGGCGAACGGGUGAGUAAUGCAUCGGAACGUGCCCAGUAGUGGGGGAUAGCCCGGCGAAAGCCGGAUUAAUACCGCAUACGACCUGCGGGUGAAAGCGGGGGACCGAAAGGCCUCGCGCUAUUGGAGCGGCCGAUGUCGGAUUAGCUAGUUGGUGGGGUAAAGGCUUACCAAGGCGACGAUCCGUAGCUGGUCUGAGAGGACGACCAGCCACACUGGGACUGAGACACGGCCCAGACUACUACGGGAGGCAGCAGUGGGGAAUUUUGGACAAUGGGGGCAACCCUGAUCCAGCCAUGCCGCGUGCGGGAAGAAGGCCUUCGGGUUGUAAACCGCUUUUGUUAGGGAAGAAAUCCUCUGGGCUAAUACCCCGGGGGGAUGACGGUACCGGAAGAAUAAGCACCGGCUAACUACGUG